rnacentral:rRNA from 1 species
ACGCUGGCGGCACGCCUAACACAUGCAAGUCGAACGAAGUAGCAAUACUUAGUGGCAGACGGGUGAGUAACAUGUGGGUAUCUACCCUUUGGCCUGGAAUAACACGAGGAAACUUGUGCUAAUACUGGAUAAGUCUUUACGGAGAAAGCUUUAUGCACCAUUGGAUGAGCCCGCACUUGAUUAGUUUGUUGGUAGGGUAAUGGCCUACCAAGACUAUGAUCAAUAGCUGAUUUGAGAGGAUGAUCAGCCACAUUGGGACUGAGACACGGCCCAAACUCCUACGGGAGGCAGCAGUGGGGAAUCUUGCACAAUGGAGGAAACUCUGAUGCAGCGAUGCCGCGUGAGUGAAGAAGGCCCUUGGGUUGUAAAGCUCUUUCGUCGGGGAAGAAAAUGACUGUACCCGAAUAAGAAGGUCCGGCUAACUUCGUGCCAGCAGCCGCGGUAAUACGAAGGGACCUAGCGUAGUUCGGAAUUACUGGGCUUAAAGAGUUCGUAGGUGGUUGAAAAAGUUGGUGGUGAAAUCCCAGAGCUUAACUCUGGAACUGCCAUCAAAACUUUUCAGCUAGAGUUUGAUAGAGGAAAGCAGAAUUUCUAGUGUAGAGGUGAAAUUCGUAGAUAUUAGAAAGAAUACCAAUUGCGAAGGCAGCUUUCUGGAUCAAUACUGACACUGAGGAACGAAAGCAUGGGUAGCGAAGAGGAUUAGAUACCCUCGUAGUCCAUGCCGUAAACGAUGUGUGUUAGACGUUGGAAAUUUAUUUUCAGUGUCGCAGCGAAAGCGAUAAACACACCGCCUGGG